GAUGAACGCUGGCGGCGUGCCUAAUACAUGCAAGUCGAGCGAACGGACGAGAAGCUUGCUUCUCUGAUGUUAGCGGCGGACGGGUGAGUAACACGUGGAUAACCUACCUAUAAGACUGGGAUAACUUCGGGAAACCGGAGCUAAUACCGGAUGAUCUUUUGAACCGCAUGGUUCAAAAGUGAAAGACGGUCUUGCUGUCACUUAUAGCUGGAUCCGCGCUGCAUUAGCUAGUUGGUAAGGUCACGGCUUACGAAGGCAACGAUGCGUAGCCGACCUGAGAGAGUGAUCGCCGGCAUGAGAACGUGAACACCGUCCAGAGUCCUAAGGGAGGCAGCAGUAGCGUAUCGUACGCAGUGGGCGAAAGCAUUACGGAACAACGGCGAGUGAGUGAUGAAGGUGUUGGGUGCGUAAUGCUCUGUUAUUAGUGAAGAACAGAUGUGUAAGUAGCUGUGGAGAGCUUGACGGUAACGAGUCAGAAAGCCCCGGCUAACUACGUG
rnacentral:rRNA from 1 species